AUGCAAAGAACUUUGAAAAGAGAGUUAAAGAGUGCCUGAAAUUGCUGAAAGGGAAGCGAAGGAAACCAGUGUUUGCCUGGUCAUAUUUCCCUGGUUGCUUGCAACUUGGGCGCUGUGUCCGGCUUUGGUUGUGCUUGGUUGGGAUUCUUGGAAGGGCGCGUAGGGAGUUGACCUGCGUUGCCGGCAUUGAAUCUUGACCGAGCAGGACGAAAUGGUUUUCUUUACCCCGUCUUGAAACACGGACCAAGGAGUCUAACAUAUGUGCGAGUACAGGGGUGGCAAACCCCCGUGCGCAAUGAAAGUGACAGUGGUUGGAUCUUUGCACAAUCCGCCGGCCUCAAUCCCUCGGGAGAACGGUCUGAGUGUGAGCAUACAUGUUGGGACCCGAAAGAUGGUGAACUAUGCCUGAAUAGGGUGAAGCCAGGGGAAACUCUGGUGGAGGCUCGUAGCGAUUCUGACGUGCAAAUCGAUCGUCAAAUUUGGGUAUAGGGGCGAAAGACUAAUCGAACGAUACUAGUAGCUGGUUCCCUCCGAAAUUUCCCUCAGGAUAGCUGCGAUCGGAGUUCAAUUUUAUCA
rnacentral:rRNA from 1 species